GUCUAGAAUAACAGCAUUGUCCCGAAUCCUUCAUGACUUUCCAAUGCUACUGGACAUUUAUGUAGGUGAAAAGUUUGUUUAUAAUGAUCAGGGCGUGGAACCGAAUUCCAUUUUGUAUAAAAACAUUAACUCUUUUUUGGGGGAACAGUUUCAACAUUUAUCAGGCAAGGUUAUUCUUCAGUAACAACCCCCAAAUCUCAAUGGCUUAACCUAAAAGCUGGUUUCUCAUCAUGCU
rnacentral:lncRNA from 10 species